rnacentral:rRNA from 1 species
AACGAACGCUGGCGGCAUGCCUAACACAUGCAAGUCGAACGAGAUCUUCGGAUCUAGUGGCGCACGGGCGCGUAACACGUGGGAAUCUGCCCUUGGGUUCGGAAUAACUCUCCGAAAGGAGUGCUAAUACCGGAUGAUGUCGAAAGACCAAAGAUUUAUCGCCCAGGGAUGAGCCCGCGUAGGAUUAGCUAGUUGGUGAGGUAUAGGCUCACCAAGGCGACGAUCCUUAGCUGGUCUGAGAGGAUGAUCAGCCACACUGGGACUGAGACACGGCCCAGGCUCCUACGGGAGGCAGCAGUGGGGAAUAUUGGACAAUGGGCGAAAGCCUGAUCCAGCAAUGCCGCGUGAGUGAUGAAGGCCUUAGGGUUGUAAAGCUCUUUUACCCGGGAUGAUAAUGACAGUACCGGGAGAAUAAGCCCCGGCUAACUCCGUGCCAGCCGCCGCCGUAAGAC